GUUAGCAUCACACUCCUGGUUUCCCACUGAAGCUGAAGCAGGGAUGAGCCUGGACCGUACCUGGAUGGGAGACCUUCUGGGGAAAACUAAGGUUGCUGCUGGAA
rnacentral:rRNA from 1 species